UGGGGAAUAUUGCACAAUGGGCGCAAGCCUGAUGCAUCCAUGCCGCGUGUAUGAAGAAGGCCUUCGGGUUGUAAAGUACUUUCAGCGGGGAGGAAGGGAGUAAAGUUAAUACCUUUGCUCAUUGACGUUACCCGCAGAAGAAGCACCGGCUAACUCCGUGCCAGCAGCCGCGGUAAUACGGAGGGUGCAAGCGUUAAUCGGAAUUACUGGGCGUAAAGCGCACGCAGGCGGUUUGUUAAGUCAGAUGUGAAAUCCCCGGGCUCAACCUGGGAACUGCAUCUGAUACUGGCAAGCUUGAGUCUCGUAGAGGGGGGUAGAAUUCCAGGUGUAGCGGUGAAAUGCGUAGAGAUCUGGAGGAAUACCGGUGGCGAAGGCGGCCCCCUGGACGAAGACUGACGCUCAGGUGCGAAAGCGUGGGGAGCAAACAGG
rnacentral:rRNA from 1 species